GGGGCCUGCGAGCGUUGUCCGGAAUCACUGGGCGUAAAGGGCGCGUAGGUGGUCUGAUAAGGGUGUGGUGAAAGCCCGGGGCUCAACCCCGGGUCGGCCGUGCCGACUGUUGGACUAGAGUGCUGUAGGGGCAGGCGGAAUUCCGGGUGUAGCGGUGGAAUGCGUAGAGAUCCGGAGGAAGACCGGUGGCGAAGGCGGCCUGCUGGGCAGUUACUGACACUGAGGCGCGACAGCGUGGGGAGCAAACAGGAUUAGAUACCCUGGUAGUCCACGCCGUAAACGAUGGGUACUAGGUGCCUGGGGGAGCGACCCCUUGGGUGCCGGCGCUAACGCAGGAAGUACCCCGCCUGGGGAGUACGACCGCAAGGUUG
rnacentral:rRNA from 1 species